rnacentral:rRNA from 1 species
UUUAUUGGAGAGUUUGAUCCUGGCUCAGGAUGAACGCUGGCGGCGUGCCUAAUACAUGCAAGUCGAGCGAACGGAUUAAGAGCUUGCUCUUAUGAAGUUAGCGGCGGACGGGUGAGUAACACGUGGGUAACCUGCCCAUAAGACUGGGAUAACUCCGGGAAACCGGGGCUAAUACCGGAUAAUAUUUUGAACUGCAUAGUUCGAAAUUGAAAGGCGGCUUCGGCUGUCACUUAUGGAUGGACCCGCGUCGCAUUAGCUAGUUGGUGAGGUAACGGCUCACCAAGGCAACGAUGCGUAGCCGACCUGAGAGGGUGAUCGGCCACACUGGGACUGAGACACGGCCCAGACUCCUACGGGAGGCAGCAGUAGGGAAUCUUCCGCAAUGGACGAAAGUCUGACGGAGCAACGCCGCGUGAGUGAUGAAGGCUUUCGGGUCGUAAAACUCUGUUGUU